CUUCUCUCCUUUUUGCCCAGGAGCUCCAUCAAGACCAUUCAGACCACUGUCACCUUUUUCUCCCUAAACAUUAACAAUAACAAUUCAUCUCAUAAUUAAACUUACAGUGAUGAUGAGGUUAUCAAUAUCUGUUUAUGUAGUGACUCACCUUUCGUCCCGGGAGACCGUUUAGUCCUGGAAUGCCAGGCCUGCCAGGGUCCCCAGAAUCACCCUUGUGUUUUACAGUCAUAGGAAAUGUUCUUAGUGGUUUAUUUAAUCUAAUUUUUAAUAUAGGAUGAAAUAGGUCCAACAAUACCUGUUCUCCAUCCAGUCCUGGACUCCCUAUUCGUCCAGGGAAACCUCUGAAGCCCUACAGAAAAAUAAAUGUUGUGAAACAAUGGUUACAGACAGGGGAGAACACAAUAGCUAAAGACAAGAUUGACAUUUCAUACCUUCUCUCCUUUAAUUCCUGCAUCUCCAGGUAAACCAGGGUCCCCUGUCUCACCCUGAACACACAAACCAAUCAGUCUAGGUACAUGAGUCCAUAGUGUUACUCAAAAAAAAUUGAAAUAAAAUAAAAAUGUAAAAAAAUAAACCAACUCACAGGAAAGCCUACUUAAUUAUUUAAUCAUUCAUCUAAAUAAUGUAGUUAGUAAGAAAGAUUAAGAGAACAGUGUUCUCCUUCUCAUGUACCUCUGUAGCUCAAAGAAAUUUCUUAUUAAUUAAUAUUUAAUUCAUAUGAUUCAUAUUCAUACCUGAUCUCCCUUUCGGCCCUGCAGGCCCAUGUCUCCCUUAUCACCUUUCUCACCAUCCAAUCCAUGUUCUCCAUUACGACCCUGUGACAAAUCUCAGCCAAUCAGUAAUAUUUAACAAAAUAUAUAGCCAGCAAAAUGUCUAAAAAUAUACAAAUCUCAAACAUUUGUUUCGAAACUAUCACAACAAACAUUAAACAGGCUACCUUUUCCCCAUUAGCGCCUGGCUCCCCUGGAUCUCCCUAAGAAAAUAAUUAUACCUUCACUCCCAAAAUGCAUUUUCCACAGUAAAAAUAAUUACCGUGAUAUAACAUGGCAUAUAAAACAAUAUAAUCCAUACUUUUAAAAAAAGCAGUUAUAGUGCAUUAUAGUGCAUAUUGUCAAAUUAGAGCUAAUUUUGACCUUUUGUCCUACUGGACCACGUACACCAAAAGGCCCCAUGCCCCCUUUAGUACCAGCCUCUCCCUUCAGCCCCUGAAAUUACAUGAAACAAGUGUUAGAAAUUCACUUUUAUGGUCCAUUGUAGACAUGAAUCUCUACAGGUAUCUGAGUGUAUAAUUCACUAAGAAAGGUUUAGAAAAUACCUUUGCACCAGGUGGACCAUCUUCACCUUUCUCUCCUUUAUCUCCAUCAAAUCCUGGAAGCCCACGUUCACCCUGCCAUGUCAAAUUCAGACAUGCCUUGACAUGUAUCUGUCAUUUAUACUUAAAAACAACUCAAAACUCAAACAGCUAACAUGCAUUGUUGAGUUCACAUAGUCAAGUAUGGCCUUUGUGGGAAACUUUAUAGUGAAAUGACAAAUACAAAAAUAUCUCACUGCCUCUCCUUUCAGACCCUUAUAUCCUCUGGGUCCUGGCAUGGAGAGAGGACUACCCUACAAAACCAGGAAACCGAUAUGGUAGUUGGUGAAAGAAUCAAAAUAAACACAAUGCAGAUGUUUUCUUCCCCGUGUCCUCAUGGCUGUGGAAAACUGUCUCCAUACUUACCUCUUCCUUCCCAGAGCCCAACUGUGAAAAAGGAAUGGGCUCAGGCAUCUGCCCCUCUUCAAGAUCAGCCUCUUCCUCAGUUAAAUCUGUAUCAGGUAAUGACUCUUGUGGGUGACUGUACUUUACUGAGCUCUGUGGAUUAGAGAUAGACUUUAUACAGCAAGUACAUUGUUGCUAAUAGUGGGUAUUUAUCAUAAACAGAAAAUCUAUCUGACUAGUAAUCAGUUUUUUUUUUUAUUAUAAAUAUAGUAAUUAAUUUAGCUGAGAUAUUUUGUAAGUUCAGGAGGCUACUCACGGUGUAUUCAGUGAUGAUGUUUGAGUCCGGCUCCUGUCUGUCUCCUUUCACUCUUCUGCUGGUGCUGAUCUCAUGAAGAAGCUCCUCCAUUCCAUCCUGAAGCAGCCUGUCAAUCAAGGCCUUCAGCAGCGAGAGCUAUGAAAGUGUGUUUUUAUUAUUAUUAUUAUUAUUAUAAAUGUGGUAAUAUGUUUUAUUGUAGUGUAACAUCAAAGCAAUUCAAAUUUGUUACAAUUCAUAUAAAUAUAUAAUUUAUAUGAGAUGACAAUAAAAUGGUUAGUAACGUAGCAAUGACUUUUAUAAACAAGUAAAAAGCUCU